AUUGAACGCUGGCGGCAGGCCUAACACAUGCAAGUCUAACGAGUGGCGGACGGGUGCGUAAUGUCUGGGAAACUGCCUGAUGGAGGGGGAUAACUACUGGAAACGGUAGCUAAUACCGCAUACCAUCGGAUGUGCCCAGAUGGGAUUAGCUAGUAGGUGGGGUAAAGGCUCACCUAGGCGACGAUCCCUAGCUGGUCUGAGAGGAUGACCAGCCACACUGGAACUGAGACACGGUCCAGAAGCCUACGGGAGGCAGAAGUGGGGAAUAGUGAAGAAUGGGCGCAAGGCUGAUGCAGCCAUGCCGAGGGUAUGAAGAAGGCCUUAGGGUUGUAAAGUACUUUCAGCGGGGAGGCGUUACCCGCAGAAGAAGCACCGGCUAACUCCGUGCCAGCAGCCGCGGUAAUUC
rnacentral:rRNA from 1 species